GGUAGCAUGGCCAAGCGGUCUAAGGCAUUGGAUUAAGGCUCCAAUCUCUUUGGGGGUGUGGGUUCGAAUCCCACCACUGCCA